rnacentral:rRNA from 1 species
GACGAACCGUGCGAACGUUGUUCGGAAUCACUGGGCUUAAAGGGCGCGUAGGCGGGUUCCCAAGUCCGGGGUGAAAUCUCGGAGCUUAACUCCGAAACUGCAUUCGAUACUGCCGUGCUUGAGGACUGGAGAGGAGACUGGAAUUUACGGUGUAGCGGUGAAAUGCGUAGAUAUCGUAAGGAAGACCAGUGGCGAAGGCGGGUCUCUGGACAGUUCCUGACGCUGAGGCACGAAGGUCAGGGGAGCAAACGGG